GAUGAACGCUGGCGGCGUGCUUAACACAUGCAAGUCGAACGGAAAGGCUCCUGCUUGCAGGGGUACUCGAGUGGCGAACGGGUGAGUAACACGUGGGUGAUCUGCCCUGCACUUCGGGAUAAGCCUGGGAGACUGGGUCUAAUACCGGAUAGGACCACAUUUUGGAUGGUGUGGUGGAAAGUUUUUCGGUGUGGGAUGAGCUCGCGGCCUAUCAGCUUGUUGGUGGGGUAAUGGCCUACCAAGGCGUCUACGGGUAGCCGGCCUGAGAGGGUGUACGGCCACAUUGGGACUGAGAUACGGCCCCGACUCCUACGGGAGGCAGAAGUGGGGAAUAUUGCACAAUGGGCGCAAGCCUGAUGCAGCGACGCCGCGUGGGGGAUGACGGCCUUCGGGUUGUAAACUCCUUUCGCUAGGGACGAAGCGCAAGUGACGGUACCUGGAGAAGAAGCACCGGCUAACUACGUG
rnacentral:rRNA from 1 species